AUUGAACGCUGGCGGCAUGCUUUACACAUGCAAGUCGAACGGUAACAGGCCUUCGGGUGCUGACGAGUGGCGAACGGGUGAGUAAUGCAUCGGAACGUACCCAGAGGUGGGGGAUAACGCAGCGAAAGCUGUGCUAAUACCGCAUGUGAUCUGAGGAUGAAAGCGGGGGACCGAGCAGCAAUGUUUGGCCUCGCGCCUUUGGAGCGGCCGAUGUCGGAUUAGCUAGUUGGUGGGGUAAAGGCCUACCAAGGCGACGAUCCGUAUCUGGUCUGAGAGGACGACCAGCCACACUGGGACUGAGACACGGCCCAGACUCCUACGGGAGGCAGCAGUGGGGAAUUUUGGACAAUGGGCGCAAGCCUGAUCCAGCAAUGCCGCGUGCGGGAAGAAGGCCUUCGGGUUGUAAACCGCUUUUGGCAGGAACGAAACGGUGUCCGCUAAUACCGGGCGCUAAUGACGGUACCUGCAGAAUAAGCACCGGCUAACUACGUG
rnacentral:rRNA from 1 species